UACGGAGGGUGCAAGCGUUACUCGGAAUCACUGGGCGUAAAGAGCGCGUAGGCGGUCGGAUAAGUCUGAUGUGAAAGCCUUCGGCUCAACCGGAGAAUUGCAUCAGAAACUGUUGAACUUGAGUGCAGAAGAGGAGAGUGGAACUCCAUGUGUAGCGGUGGAAUGCGUAGAUAUAUGGAAGAACACCAGUGGCGAAGGCGGCUCUCUGGUCUGCAACUGACGCUGAGGCUCGAAAGCAUGGGUAGCGAACAGG
rnacentral:rRNA from 1 species